rnacentral:misc_RNA from 1 species
UACGGAGGGGGCUAGCGUUGUUCGGAAUUACUGGGCGUAAAGCGCACGUAGGCGGAUCGGAAAGUUGGGGGUGAAAUCCCGGGGCUCAACCCCGGAACUGCCUCCAAAACUAUCGGUCUGGAGUCCGAGAGAGGUGAGUGGAAUUCCGAGUGUAGAGGUGAAAUUCGUAGAUAUUCGGAGGAACACCAGUGGCGAAGGCGGCUCACUGGCUCGGAACUGACGCUGAGGUGCGAAAGCGUGGGGAGCAAACAGG